rnacentral:rRNA from 1 species
ACGCACGCUGGCGGCGUGCUUAACACAUGCCAGUCGCACGGAAAGGCCCUGCUUUUGUGGGGUGCUCGAGUGGCGAACGGGUGAGUAACACGUGAGUAACCUGCCCUUGACUUUGGGAUAACUUCAGGAAACUGGGGCUAAUACCGGAUAGGAGCUCCUGCUGCAUGGUGGGGGUUGGAAAGUUUCGGCGGUUGGGGAUGGACUCGCGGCUUAUCAGCUUGUUGGUGGGGUAGUGGCUUACCAAGGCUUUGACGGGUAGCCGGCCUGAGAGGGUGACCGGCCACAUUGGGACUGAGAUACGGCCCAGACUCCUACGGGAGGCAACAGUGGGGAAUAUUGCACAAUGGGCGGAAGCCUGAUGCAGCAACGCCGCGUGCGGGAUGACGGCCUUCGGGUUGUAAACCGCUUUCGCCUGUGACGAAGCGUGAGUGACGGUAAUGGGUAAAGAAGCACCGGCUAACUACGU